UAUGUGAUGAUGAUUCACGCUCUGACUCCAAUAUCGAGAAGUCCAAGAAUCUGAUAUUUUACAGCUCCUCCCGCUGCACAGAGUGCAAGGACAGAUCCAGCACUGCUCUAAAGCCAGAGCACAUCACGAGGGCUCCAAUAACUGCAUUAUCACUUAUUAACUGCACUGUAUAAGGAACAGUCUUGUCUCUUUGGGCCUUCACUCCUGUCAAGUGGUGAAACAAGCCAGCAAUGUUUAACUGUAUGCCUUAGUAGAUUGACUAUUCUCGUAUUCAUUACUACAUCAUCAGCAACCGUUCUUGAAGGGGAGGCAAAAUAUUGAAGGCUCAUUAGCGGGUUCUGCUUAUAAGAUAAUAAAAUUGAAGACAUAAAAAUCUAAAUAAAGUCAGUGGGGACAAAUACUAUUUUCAUCAUUUUUUCCUUUUUUCAGGUACUGGAGAACUGUUUGCUGGAGGGGGUUAGACGUUUAUUCUCAUUAGAUUCAGGACCUCAAAUGAACUAACGUCAUGACGAGAGGCAGACUCCAGACAUCAUAUCGGCUCUUGAUAGGACCUGUCUGGCCCACAAAAGAGAAAGGAUAUGGGUGAAGAUUAGAGAGUUCACCACUAAACACAAGCCCGUGGUGUACUGUGCUGAGAAUCAGUCGUCUCCUGAACAGACAAACAGCGACCCGCCGUCACCUCUCUAAUGUCCAGCAGAUGGCUGUUAUAGGCGUGAACUGCAGGCGGGGUUGGCAGACCUCAGCUACUACAGCGUCAGCGUGACCCGGCACAAGAGAAUUCCCUUCAUCUCCUCCAUCUAAAACACUCACCACACACGCCGCUACCUGGUAGAGCCAUCUGUUUUGAUUGGUCAAAAGCUGCACUUUACAGUAAUGUAUCAGUUUAACUCCACAGAGUGUGAUAGCCAAGGGCAACAGUUAUUUUUGAACUUCAGUCAGUAGAACUUUCUGUGCUCAAAAUC
rnacentral:lncRNA from 1 species